GCAAGUUGUUAAGUGCGAUCGGUGGAUGCCUUGGCACCAAGAGCCGAUGAAGGACGUUGUAACCUGCGAUAAGCCCUGGGGAGUUGGUAAACGAGCUGUGAUCCGGGGGUGUCCGAAUGGGGAAACCUGGAAUGUCCGGAGUAGUGUCCGGUGACCCUGCCCUGAAUGUAUAGGGGUGUGGGAGGUAACGCGGGGAAGUGAAACAUCUUAGUACCCGUAGGAAGAGAAAACAACCGUGAUUCCGUGAGUAGUGGCGAGCGAAAGUGGAUGAGGCUAAACCGUGUGUGUGUUCAAGCCGGCAGGUGUUGCAUGUGCGGGGUUGUGGGGGCCUUUUGGUUCUGCUGCCGCAGGAUUGGCCAGUGAUAAAUGUUGCGUGAAGGUGAAGCGUCUGGGAAGGCGUACCGGAGUGGGUGAGAGUCCCGUAACUGUAAGCGUGGCACUGGUGAGGGUUGCCCCAAGUAGCGUGGAACUCGUGGAAUUUCGCGUGAAUCUGGCGGGACCACCCGUCAAGCCUAAAUACUCCUUGGUGACCGAUAGUGUAUUAGUACCGUGAGGGAAUGGUGAAAAGUACCCCGGGAGGGGAGUGAAAUAGUACCUGAAACCGGUCGCAUACAAGCCGUCAGAGCCUUGUGGGGUGAUGGCGUGCCUUUUGAAGAAUGAGCCUGCGAGUUAGUGAUGCGUGGCGAGGUUAACCUGUGUGGGGGAGUCGUAGCGAAAGCGAGUCCGAUAAGGGCGUGAGUCGCGUGUUCUAGACCCGAAGCGGUGUGAUCUAUCCAUGGCCAGGAUGAAGCGUCGGUAAGACGUCGUGGAGGUCCGAACCCACUUCAGUUGAAAAUGGAGGGGAUGAGCUGUGGAUAGGGGUGAAAGGCCAAUCAAACACCGUGAUAGCUGGUUCUCCCCGAAAUGCAUUUAGGUGCAGCGUUGCGUGGUUCUUGUCGGAGGUAGAGCACUGGAUGGUCUAGGGGGCCUAUCAGCUUACCGAAAUCAGCCAAACUCCGAAUGCCGGCAAGUGGAGCGUGGCAGUGAGACGGCGGGGGAUAAGCUUCGUCGUCGAGAGGGAAACAGCCCAGAUCAUCAGCUAAGGCCCCUAAGUGGUAGCUCAGUGGAAAAGGAUGUGGAGUUGCGCAGACAGCCAGGAGGUUGGCUUGGAAGCAGCCAUCCUUGAAAGAGUGCGUAAUAGCUCACUGGUCAAGUGAUUCCGCGCCGACAAUGUAGCGGGGCUUAAGUUAUCCGCCGAAGCUGUGGCAAACCCGUUUUGCGGGUUUGGGUAGGGGAGCGUCCUGUACGAGGUGAAGCUGCCGGGUGACCGUGUGGUGGAUUGUGCGGGAGUGAGAAUGCAGGCAUGAGUAGCGAAUGACGGGUGGAAAACCCGUCCGCCGAUUAUCCAAGGGUUCCAGGGUCAAGUUAAUCUGCCCUGGGUGAGUCGGGACCUAAGGCGAGGCCGACAGGCGUAGUCGAUGGAUAACCAGUUGAUAUUCUGGUACCGGCUUGUCACCGUCCGUGUCGAGGUGUGUGAUGCUAAGCGUGCGAGCCUGCCAUUGUGAUGUCUUUGAUGUUGUGGUGGUGUGGUGAGUGUGUGAACCGAUCAUGUAGUAGGCAAGCUGCGGAGGGACGCAGUGAGGUAGCUCAUCCCCGGCGAUGGUUGUCCGGGGCUAAAUGUGUGGACCGUCUGGUAGGUAAAUCCGCUGGGCAUAUGGUUGAGGCAUGAUGGCGAGCCCACGUGUGUGGGUGAGUGAGUGAUCCUGUACUGUCGAGAAAAGCUUCGUGAGCGAGGUGGCUGGUCCGCCCGUACCCUAAACCGACACUGGUGGAUAGGUAGAGUAUACCGAGGCGAUCGAGAUCAUCAUGGUGAAGGAACUCGGCAAAAUGCCCCCGUAACUUCGGGAUAAGGGGGACCUGAACUGUUAAGGCCUGUACGGCUGGUAGCAGUGAGGGGCGCAGAGACCAGGGGGAAACGACUGUUUACCAAAAACACAGGUCCGUGCGAAGUCGUAAGACGAUGUAUACGGACUGACUCCUGCCCGGUGCUGGAAGGUUAAGGGGAACUGUUAGCGUUGGCGAAGCGGUGAACUUAAGCCCCAGUAAACGGCGGUGGUAACUAUAACCAUCCUAAGGUAGCGAAAUUCCUUGUCGGGUAAGUUCCGACCUGCACGAAUGG
rnacentral:rRNA from 1 species